UUCACCAAAAAUUUUUCUCCCUUAGACCCGUUCGGUUAGGCCGGAACGGCUGUUCCGCUGGCUCAUUCCGGGUGUUUUGCUCCUGUCUGUUUUUAAUGCUGGCUAACUUUGAAAGGUAUAUUCAUUUUUGCCCGAUCUUAAAAGAAGUCUGGCCCGGCUUGGUCUCCCCCCUGGAAUGAAUCCCCACCCCUUUCCCUCCGGAGCCAAUCCAACACGCGGGGGAGAGCUGGCGGCAUGAGGUGACGAGGCGGCGGCGCGAGAUGACGGCGUGCCAGCGCAGCACAGUCCCGACGGCGACCCCUCCGCCGCCCUCUCUUCCUUCCCCUCUCCCGGGAUGGAAAGUGUUGUGGAUAGGAGAUGUCUCAAGUUUGGUGUGUUCGUUUGCCAUUAGAGCACUCUAAAAUCUUUAGAGUGCUCCCCCCCUCUAAUGAAUCGCAGUCUUAUUAGAGGCUGAAUUAUAGGGCUGUUCGGUGCCGGACCUCUAAAAUUUAGAUGUUUCGGGUUUUAGAGGGGUGAAACGAACACACACUUGGGCCGGAAGCUAUGUACUCUCUAGCCCGUGUUCUUUAGCAGCAAUUAUAGUAGUCUGUAGUAGCAUGGGGAUUUUCUCUUUUUCGUCGAACGUUGUAGUUGAUGUAGUGGUUGUGAAUUUCCGUUUUGCUCAGCAUUGUGAUUGUGUACUCUGUUUCUUUCACCUAAACAAGUUUUUCUUCUUCUAUCA